rnacentral:rRNA from 1 species
AUUGAACGCUGGCGGCAGGCUUAACACAUGCAAGUCGAGCGGAGAUGAGGUGCUUGCACCUUAUCUUAGCGGCGGACGGGUGAGUAAUGCUUAGGAAUCUGCCUAUUAGUGGGGGACAACAUUCCGAAAGGAAUGCUAAUACCGCAUACGUCCUACGGGAGAAAGCAGGGGAUCUUCGGACCUUGCGCUAAUAGAUGAGCCUAAGUCGGAUUAGCUAGUUGGUGGGGUAAAGGCCUACCAAGGCGACGAUCUGUAGCGGGUCUGCGAGGAUGAUCCGCCACACUGGGACUGGGACACGGCCCAGACUCCUACGGGAGGCAGCAGUGGGGAAUAUUGGACAAUGGGGGGAACCCUGAUCCAGCCAUGCCGCGUGUGUGAAGAAGGCCUUAUGGUUGUAAAGCACUUUAAGCGAGGAGGAGGCUACUGAGACUAAUACUCUUGGAUAGUGGACGUUACUCGCAGAAUAAGCACCGGCUAACUCUGUGCCAGCCGCCGCAGUAAAAC